rnacentral:sRNA from 2 species
UCCGGACGGGCGCCUAAUCCCGCCGCCGUGCGGAUGUCCGGUCGACGAUGUGGAUCGGCGGGAGCGGAGGACCCGAGCAGAGCGGGGUCCCGGCCUUCACGGCCGAGGGCUCCUUGGGGUGAAGCCGUACAUACGGCCGGGCAUCUUCGCCUGCCCGAACCCGACAGGUCUUCCUUCGCAGGCGGCUGACGAAGGGUUU